GAUGAACGCUGGCGGUGUGCCUAAUACAUGCAAGUCGAACGACCACACGAUAAGCUUUUUCCCUUAACGUUAGCGGGGGACGGGCGAGUAACACGUGCAUCACCUUCUUCUUUGUCUGGGAUAAUUUCGGGAAACCGCUUCCACUACUGCCUCAUAUAAUCAACCGCAUGAAUCAAUGGUUCAACGCGGCUUUCCCGUUAGUUUUAGCUGGAUUCGCGUCGCAUUAGCUAGUUGGUAAGGUAACGGCUUACCAAGGCGACGAUGCGUAGCCGACCUGAGAGGAUGAUCGGCCACACUGGAACUGAGACACGGUCCAGACUCCUACGGGAGGCAGCAGUAGGGAAUCUUCGGCAAUGGGCGAAAGCCUGACGCAGCCACACCGCGUGGGUGAAGAAGGUCUUCGGGUCGUAAAGCUCUGUUGUUGGGGAAGAAAAGAUGUAUAAGUAACUAUGCACGUCUUGACGGUACCUAAUCAGAAAGCCACGGCUAACUACGUG
rnacentral:rRNA from 1 species